UGCUCGUCAUUCCAUGCUGCGGCGCGCAGGUUGCGUUUCAGCAGGUGCCAGAACGGCUCGAGGGUGCUGCGUAUCUGCGUUAGCGCAGGCUCCGCAGCCGGGUUUUGUGUCGUCACCGCGGCUGCUGCUGUCUCCAGCAGCUGGUGCACGAACGCGCCCGGAAGCGUCAGAACGCGCUUCAAGCGGUGAGCGUGGCGAUAGGCUGGGCAUAGGGUCGACACUCGUGAGCUCGAGGCGCGUUUCGAAUGGACAGGCUCGUCCAGCGCGCACACAUCGCACCAGCCCAGGAGGCCGAGAGGAGAACGCGCGAGGGCCAUGCAACCCAAGCGUCGCAGCGUCACGUGCAGAGCGCCCAUGGCUAGCAUGUGUUGAUCCCGGGGGGUAUCACACAUCUGCUGAGCGGCUCACUCAAACGGACGGUGACUUGACGUCCGAAUUCUAAUCAUUCUAGCAUGGCCCCAUCUAUGCUAGAAAACAAGUUCAUCUGGUUCUAGCGAGCAUGCUAAACUUCGAUGCGCUUUUCACCUCUAUCAAUAUCAAGCUUUGAGGCUCGUUCUGCAACCGCUUCGCUUUCUUCCCCCUCAUUGUCGGUUUUGAGUACGCGAGUCUUUCGAUUUCCAUAGGCUCCUGCAUAUGGAGUCGGAGCAAGUAAAAUCCAGGGUACCUGUCUGUUAUCUCUGUCCCAGAGUAGCGCUGAGCGCAACGUAUCGCAAGCUAGGGCGCCCACCCAAUGAAACUGUGCUUGAAGGCGUUCUGUCAGGGAAUGGCGCCCCUUGGUGGGAGCGGAGUGCACCUUUUUCCGAGAUGCUGCAGAAUAUCUUUGGUACUCCGACGGGAUACAUCCCAAGGCGUAGCUGGUGCACAUGAGCGUGCUGUGGCUUGUUUGAUGAACAAGAAGUAUAUAUAAUAUUUACGAUUUAUGCUUCGGUCAUCUUUAUUCUUCACGUUUCGCCGGAACUCGGCGAUCCACAAAUAUACGAAGCCUACGAAACGAGCACCAACCCGCACGGCAAUUUCAGUGACAGCGCUAUCACCAUCGAGCACCAGCUCGUAACGAGGACGACUUCAGGGAUAGAAACGUGCAUUCACUUCCAUGAAUCUGUUCUUCAAGGCCCCGCAUGACGUGCUCAAUCGCGGUUGACACACGAAGAAGAGCUUUGGUUAUCUAGCAGGACUUUCCUCUGUUUUUUUAUUUUCUUCGGAUAGAAGCCUUCGAUCGGGGUCUUUUCUGUGAUCAAACAAGUACCGGAAGGCAAUUCAAGUUUGAGAAAAUGUACAGGAAUUUCAAUCUGCCCAUAUUCCUUUCGUGCAAAUCGGCAAUAAACGCCCCACACGUGGCCGUCGCUGUGAGUACUCGAGUCCGAUUCCAGUAUUCUUCGCCGAGCUGAAUGAAAAGACGAGAGCCUCUGGAAGCCAAUCCCGCGAGAAUAAUGAUGCUUCUGUGGAAUGCCGUUUCGCGUGUUGCCCCUCGGCGAAAAGGUAUCGUUCUUCGAACGAGAUCUGUUUUGUAUCAUAAAAGGUUAAACAAGCUUUCGGAA